AAUAGGCAAAAAUACAGACCAAACUUCGACAAAAGAGAAUGCAACGACCUCAUCAAACUAAGAGAAGGUAAAACCAUAACAAUCAAGGUGGCCGAUGGGGGCAACGCGGUAGUAUUAAUGAACACAAAUGAUUAUAAAAUUUAGUACUAUCCCUAUUAGGAUAUGAGACAUACUAGCAAGGGGUCCAACAUUAUAAUCAAUCAAAAAUAAUGAAUAACCUCAGGACAUUAAUCAACUCAUACCGAGAAGGUCUCACAGACAUGGAGUACGAUUACAUCACCAACUUCAAAGACAAAUCUAUCACAUCAG